UCCACUCUCCUGGCCCCCAG
rnacentral:miRNA from 1 species